UCGGGAAUAUUGGACAAUGGGCGCAAGCCUGAUCCAGCCAUGCCGCGUGAGUGACGAAGGUCUUCGGAUUGUAAAGCUCUUUCGGCGGGGACGAAACGGUCCGUGACAACACCACGGACUAAUGACAGUACUCGCAGAAGAAGCACCGGCUAACUACGUGCCAGCAGCCGCGGUAAUACGUAGGGUGCAGGCGUUAAUCGGAAUUACUGGGCGUAAAGCGUGCGCAGGCGGCUCCUUAAGUCAGAUGUGAAAUCCCCGGGCUUAACCUGGGAACUGCGUUUGAAACUGAGGGGCUAGAGUGUGGAAGAGGGGGGUGGAAUUCCAGGUGUAGCAGUGAAAUGCGUAGAGAUCUGGAGGAACACCGAUGGCGAAGGCAGCCCCCUGGGCUAACACUGACGCUCAUGCACGAAAGCGUGGGGAGCAAACAGGAUUAGAUACCCACGUAGUCCCUGAGCGGGCUGGCAAGGCGCAU
rnacentral:rRNA from 1 species